ensembl:misc_RNA 7SK 7SK RNA
GGAUGUGAGGGCAAUCUGGCUGUGACAUCUGUCACCCCAUUGAUAGCCAGGGUUGAUUCGGCUGAUCUGGCUGGUUAGGCGGGUGUCCCUUCCUCCCUCACGGCUCCAUGUGCAUCCUUCCUGAAGCUGCGCGCUCGGUGGAAGAGGACGACCAUCCCUGAUACAGGAGGACCGGUCUUCGGUCAAGAGUAUACGAAUAGCUGUGCUCCCCUGCUAGAACCUCCAAACAAGCUCUCAAGGUCCAUAAAGUUAGACCCUUCUUUCAUACCUUAUAACAAAAUUAAUACCAAGUAGAUCAACAGUUAUUUGUGUUU